rnacentral:rRNA from 1 species
UACGGAGGAUCCAAGCGUUAUCCGGAAUCAUUGGGUUUAAAGGGUCCGUAGGCGGCCUAGUAAGUCAGUGGUGAAAUCUCCCCGCUCAACGGGGAAACUGCCAUUGAUACUGCUAGGCUUGAAUUACUGGGAAGUAACUAGAAUAUGUAGUGUAGCGGUGAAAUGCUUAGAGAUUACAUGGAAUACCAAUUGCGAAGGCAGGUUACUACCAUUAUAUUGACGCUGAUGGACGAAAGCGUGGGGAGCGAACAGGAUUAGAUACCCUGGUAGUCCACGCCGUAAACGAUGGAUACUAGCUGUUCGGCAGCAAUGCUGAGUGGCUAAGCGAAAGUGAUAAGUAUCCCACCUGGGGAGUACGAACGCAAGUUUGAA